rnacentral:miRNA from 1 species
ACUGACAGGAGAGCGUUUUGA